rnacentral:tRNA from 1 species
GCGGUCGUGGCGGAAUUGGUAGACGCGCAGCGUUGAGGUCGCUGUGGAGGAAACUCCUUGGAAGUUCGAGUCUUCUCGACCGCACCA